GAUGAACGCUGACAGAAUGCUUAACACAUGCAAGUCUACUUGAAUUUGGGUUUUUUAACUUAGAUUUGGGUGGCGGACGGGUGAGUAACGCGUAAAGAACUUGCCUCACAGUUAGGGACAACAUUUGGAAGCGAAUGCUAAUACCUGAUAUUAUGAAUAUAUGGCAUCAUAUAAUUAUGAAAGCUAUAAGCGCUGUGAGAGAGCUUUGCGUCCCAUUAGCUAGUUGGAGAGGUAACGGCUCACCAAGGCGAUGAUGGGUAGCCGGCCUGAGAGGGUGAACGGCCACAAGGGGACUGAGACACGGCCCUUACUCCUACGGGAGGCAGCAGUGGGGAAUAUUGGACAAUGGACCAAGAGUCUGAUCCAGCAAUUCUGUGUGCACGAUGACGUUUUUCGGAAUGUAAAGUGCUUUCAGUUGGGAAGAAAAAAAUGACGGUACCAACAGAAGAAGUGACGGCUAAAUACGUG
rnacentral:rRNA from 1 species